CAGCUAGCGUCCGUGCCGGCAACGCGGGUACCCGGGCUGGAGAGUGGCGCCGUCCCUCCCCCGCCCCCAGGCGUCCCUGGGGUCGGCGCCAGAGCCUGGGAGCCCCGGAGGCUCUGGCUCGAUGGCGGCGAGGCGGGCUCUGGGUCCUCUCCCGGCCAGGCCGAGCUUAGUAUGUGGAGGCGGCGGCGGGAGCGUGGGCAUGGACCAAGGGAAGGGGGACCCCCCCCAAACCGCACUGGUGCUUUCCUUUCCCUCCACUCGCGCCGUAGCCCUCCCCAAAUUGCCCGUCUCCGGUAGGACUGAAUCUGUCUGCUGGCCUCUCAGCUACCAACUUUGCCCGAAAUCUAGAUCCCAGACCUGCUCCUGGGUAGCUCUAGGAUGUGACUUUAAACUGGAAUGACUCUCAGGAGCUAGGUUUGAUAUGGCACAAUCUCAAGGCAUCCCUAAGUCUGAAGUUCUUCCAGCAGGUUUGGUGAGUUCUAAAACUUUCCUGGCAAACCCAUCUACUCUGACAGCACAAACAGAGAAACAAAAACAAGAGAAAUAUCAAAGUUGAGGCCUUCCUGGGUAUACUAUAACAUACUGGUUAAAAGCUGUAGUUCUGAGGUUGAGAUUGUUUGGGUACAAUUCCUAAUUCCACCUUUGCUGGCUGCACAAUCAGGACAUCAAUUUUCUCAUUUAUGGUAUUAAGAAUAUAAUGAUGACAAUAAUAAUAAUACUCAUAUUCAAUGGAAUUACUGUGAAGAUUAAAUUAAAUUAACACAGCCUAGCAGAAAAUAAACAUUAACUAAAUGUUAUCUGUUAGUAUUGUUGUUAUUGCUAUUAUACUGUUAUUCUAAGCCUCAGCAGAUAAUUUGGCCACAGUUGAUUAACUACUAGGGAUUUUCUUGUAUUAUCAAUUAUACAAAUAAUUUAUAGAACAGUUGUGAUAAAUAUAUACAUACGGAGGCUGGGCAUAGUGGCUCACGCCUGUAAUCCUCGUACUUUGGGCAGCUGAAGGUGGAGGAUUGCUUGAGGCCAGGAUUUCAAGACCAGCCAGGGCAACAUAGAGAGACUUUGUCUCUACAAAAAAUUUAAAAAUUAGCUGGGUAUUGUGGCACACACCUGUAGUCCUGGCUGCCAGAAAGGAUCACUUUAGUCCAGGAGUUUGAAACCACAGUGAGCCAUGAUUAUGCCACUGCGCUCCAGUCCAGAAGACAGAGCGAGAUCCUGUCUCUAAAAAAAAAAAAGUAAGAAAUUAAGAAAAUUAUUUUAAAAUACUUGUGGGUGCUGGAAUUUAAAAUAUUCAUCACCAGUUUGUAUAGAGACAGGAAAAUGUGUCUUGAGUCAAUUUUUAUUCAGUUUUGUGCAAAACCAUCUCAUUUUCUUGGUUUUAUAAUUAGAUAAAAUAUUCAAAGGCACCAAAAUAUUACUUAAAGGAGGAGGCAGCUUAAGAAGUAAGCCAAUAUAUAUUACAUUUUUCCUAGGACAAUCUUCUGUAAGAAAUUAGAUUAGAUGAGAAAAAUAAAAUUUCAGAUUUCACUUGGCAUUUUGUAACCCUGCUUACACAAAAUGUUAAAAACAAACAAAAAUUUUACUUAUCUCUUUUUAUCGCGCAUACUUUCUCUGGUAAAUUCUAUGCCAGAUGUAGGAACCAAAUUAUUAAAAAUACAACGUCCAGCAAAUAAAAAGGCAAUUGCUACACUGUUUUAAUAUAAAAUCUGAGAUAAAUUUUCAAUAAAAAAUAUUUAUCAUUUUUACGAUGUCUAUUUCCUUAUCUUCCUCUUUUUCUUUAUUAUUAUUAUGGUAGUAUCACUGGAAUUCAUAGAAACGACACAUUGCUAAAUGGCAGCGAACACUGAACAAAGGUAAAAUACAAUUAAUUUAUGCAGGAAAAUGAGCGAGAACAGCAGAAAGACCCUUUUCUAUGUAGUAAAUACAUUAUUUGUAGAAAUCAUUUUUAUUAUUUCCAGGCAUGCAAAUAACUGUUAUUCUCAACUGUCUCUUCUAUGUCUUGGCCAAACUAAACCACAAAGGACAAGCAGCUCAGAGAUUAGCGAAUGCGUCUCAGCUGUCCUAGGAAAGUGCUGUCAGCAAGUCUGAAGAGUUUCCCAGAAGCCCCGAAAGGACGCAAUAGCAUCGUUUAGCAGAAAGAAACAGCCCUGGAUUAAUGUUCUUUUGGGAUUCAUCUUCUGGCUUUGUGAUUUUUGGGCAAGUUGCUUAUCUUCCUCCAUUUAUUCACAUAUAUAAUGAGAUGAGUAAUACCUACCUUACAAACUUUUCUGUGAGAAGAAAAAAAAAUUGUUAAAUAUUUGCUGUGUGUAAAAUGCUUAUUCCUUUAAAGUUUUCAUGUCAGUUAAAAACAUUAUUGGCUUGAAACCUGAUAAAAACGUGUUAUUGACUUGAAUCCUUACUCAACAAUGGAAAUAGCAAUUGUGCUUGCCAUUCAGGGUGGCACAAUUAUUUCCAUUGGUUCAGGGUGGUGGUGUGGGAGCUACUAGAUAGAACAGGUGGGGCAAUUCUUGAUACAUUUUGGUGUUUUUUGUUACUACUAAUCCACCAACUCUUGUUUUCACUCAGAAGCAGAUCAAAUGGACGUAUUUAUUAUAGACAGAAAAAGUGAUAAAUGAGAUUAAUUUUAAAAAUAAAAUGAAAAGGAAAAUAAUUAUGAAUGUAUGAUUUAUAAGUUCUGAAUAUAUGAUUUAUAAGUUCUGCCUGUAUACAUAAUAAAAUCAUUUAAAUUACACGACUGUUAACUGAGCGAAGUAAUUUUUAUCACUUAGAUUUAUGUGUUCCUCGGACAGUCUUAAAUGAAAACAAGAUGUGAUGGCUUUAGAGAAUUUCACUUUGACUGGAAGUGUUUUUAAUUGAAGAGUAUUUUGCAUUAGCUGAUGGAGUUAAUUUCCCUAAGAUCUUCCAUAACUAGUGCAUGUAGCACUAGCUAGUUGGAAUCUGAGCAUUCAGGGACAUUCUUUAUCAUCUUAAGUAAAAAAAAAUUGUGUUUUAUGAUAUAUGUAAAAUAUGGAAGCUCAUAUGCUCUUUAAGAUGGGAUGAAAGAGAAUAGUUUUAUUGUAUAUUAGAAAAACUGAGUUUUUCUGAUAUAGUACUUCCCAGAUGUUAGCAGUUGCAAUGAAGAUAAUAAAAUCAAGCACUAUACAGUAUUUCUUGGGUCAAGUUGGAGAAACACUAGAUUAAUAAAAAAAAUAAAUAAAUGAGGCUUUCAUUGCAGCAUUUCUCAGAAUCUUUACUAUACCAAGGUGUAUUGAGAAUCUUUAAGGAUGUUGGCAAUAUGUUUGCUGUGUUUUCUAAUAUUUGAUCAUCAAAUCAUUUUCUUAAGAAGUUAUUGUAAGGAAUAUAUUUUGGAAAAUACUGGGCUGAAAGAUGAUUGUAUUUUCUUGUCUUCAUUUUCUUAAAUUAGGGAAAACAAAAUUCAUACAAAUUCUAAGAUGACAUACGAGUUUAGAAUUUUCCACCACAUAUUCACCCUGUUUGAUCAAUUCCAUUAGGGACAUUCUUGUAUAGCUACCUUACAAUGCAAUUUAUAAUAAUGAAAUAUUGUGGCUCCUGGCUUUUCUCUUUCUUCCUUCUAGCAUUUUAAAAGUGUAAAUUAUCCUAUAUGCUAGGUUCAGAAAAAUGCUGGGCUUGCCUCUGAGAAUAUCUGAUCUUGAGAAUGGAGAACUAGACCAAAGUGGCACCUAGAAUUUUUUUUUUUAAGUUUUAUUAUACUUUAAGCUCUGGGGUACAUGUGCAGGUUUGUUACAUAGGUAUACACGUGCCCUGGUGAUUUGCUGCACUCAUCAACUCGUCAUCUACAUUAGGUAUUUCUCCUAAUGCUAUCCCUACCCUAGCCUCCCACCCA
ensembl:lncRNA